AGAGUUUGAUCAUGGCUCAGAUUGAACGCUGGCGGCAGGCCUAACACAUGCAAGUCGAGCGGUAGAGAGGUGCUUGCACCUCUUGAGAGCGGCGGACGGGUGAGUAAUGCCUAGGAAUCUGCCUAGUGGUGGGGGAUAACGUUCGGAAACGGACGCUAAUACCGCAUACGUCCUACGGGAGAAAGCGGGGGAUCUUCGGACCUCGCGCCAUUAGAUGAGCCUAGGUCGGAUUAGCUAGUUGGUGAGGUAAUGGCUCACCAAGGCGACGAUCCGUAACUGGUCUGAGAGGAUGAUCAGUCACACUGGAACUGAGACACGGUCCAGACUCCUACGGGAGGCAGCAGUGGGGAAUAUUGGACAAUGGGCGAAAGCCUGAUCCAGCCAUGCCGCGUGUGUGAAGAAGGUCUUCGGAUUGUAAAGCACUUUAAGUUGGGAGGAAGGGUAGUAACCUAAUACGUUGCUACUUUGACGUUACCGACAGAAUAAGCACCGGCUAACUUCGUGCCAGCAGCCGCGGUAAUACGAAGGGUGCAAGCGUUAAUCGGAAUUACUGGGCGUAAAGCGCGCGUAGGUGGUUCAGCAAGUUGGAUGUGAAAGCCCUGGGCUCAACCUGGGAACUGCAUCCAAAACUACUGAGCUAGAGUACGGUAGAGGGUAGUGGAAUUUCCUGUGUAGCGGUGAAAUGCGUAGAUAUAGGAAGGAACACCAGUGGCGAAGGC
rnacentral:rRNA from 1 species